rnacentral:snRNA from 1 species
GUGCUCACUUCGGCAGCACAUAUACUAAAAUUGGAACGAUACAGAGAAGAUUAGCAUGGCCCCUGCACAAGGAUGACAUGCAAAUUCGUGAAGCAUUCCAUAUUUAU